UGUGAAGAACCAAAUGAGAUUGACUUUGGGGAAAUUGUGAGCACUGAGAAAGCCAAGUACCUGGAAAAUGACCGAGUACAAUACAGGUGCAACCCUUCCUAUGUCUUGGAAGGAACUGAAUGGAUUCAAUGUAAGGGACAAGAAUGGACACCUCAUCCACCAAAAUGCUUGGCACCCUGCAGUAUCACAAGACAACAGUUAGCAGCAAAAAACUUGUUUGUGUUUGGGAAUCAAAGAAAAGCUCGGCUUAUUCAAAGUAACCAGAACCUACAAUUUCAGUGUAAUGAAGGAUAUGUGCUUGUGGUUCCAUCAGUCAGAAAGUGUGUUGACGGUUACAUGGAUUUCCCAUUAUGUAUCUCUGGUAAG